AAAGCAGGCCAGACAACCGCUGCCGCAGAUCUCCCGGGAUUUGGCGGGAGAGGGGCCACAGAGACGAGCGUAUUCAGUUACGGUGAAACGCGGUAACCUCCAUCCGGAGCAACACCAAAUAGGCAGGCGAUGAAGCGGCUCGCUGAGUCUGCGGGUAGGUGGCUUGAGCCGGUCAGCAAUGACCGGCCUAGAGGAAUGGUUGUCCAUGACAGAACCCGGCUUAUCGACCAGCUUUUCCG
rnacentral:RNase_P_RNA from 1 species